GUUAGGAAUAUUGGACAAUGGGCGAAAGCCUGAUCCAGCCAUGCCGCGUGUGUGAAGAAGGUCUUCGGAUUGUAAAGCACUUUAAGUUGGGAGGAAGGGCAGUAAGUUAAUACCUUGCUGUUUUGACGUUACCGACAGAAUAAGCACCGGCUAACUUCGUGCCAGCAGCCGCGGUAAUACGAAGGGUGCAAGCGUUAAUCGGAAUUACUGGGCGUAAAGCGCGCGUAGGUGGUUUUGUAAGUUGGAGGUGAAAUCCCCGGGCUCAACCUGGGAACUGCCUCCAAAACUGCAUGACUAGAGUACGGUAGAGGGUAGUGGAAUUUCCUGUGUAGCGGUGAAAUGCGUAGAUAUAGGAAGGAACACCAGUGGCGAAGGCGACUACCUGGACUGAUACUGACACUGAGGUGCGAAAGCGUGGGGAGCAAACAGGAUUAGAAACCCCGGUAGUCC
rnacentral:rRNA from 1 species